UACGGGGGGAGCAAGCGUUGUUUGGAUUUACUGGGCGUAAAGGGCGCGUAGGCGGCCACUGCAAGUCGGUUGUGAAAUCUCCGGGCUUAACCCGGAAAGGUCAAUCGAUACUGCAGGGCUAGAGUGCAGAAGGGGCAACUGGAAUUCUCGGUGUAGCGGUGAAAUGCGUAGAUAUCGAGAGGAACACCUGCGGCGAAGGCGGGUUGCUGGGCUGACACUGACGCUGAAGCGCGAAAGCUAGGGGAGCAAACGGG
rnacentral:rRNA from 1 species